ACACGACUACAUUAGAUACCCGCGUAGUCCUAGCCGUAAACGAUACUCGCUAGGUGUCGGCCACGGUGCGACCGUUGUCGGUGCCGUAGGGAAGCCGUGAAGCGAGCCACCUGGGAAGUACGGCCGCAAGGCUGAAACUUAAAGGAAUUGGCGGGGGAGCACAACAACGGGUGGAGCUUGCGGUUUAAUUGGAUUCAACGCCGGAAAUCUUACCGGGACCGACAGCAACAUGAAGGCCUGGCUGAAGACUUUGCCGGAUUAGCUG
rnacentral:rRNA from 1 species